CCCGCCGGCGACCGGCGCACGGGUGAGUAACACGUAUGGAACCUGCCCGCAGCAGGGGGAUAAGCGGAAGAAAUUCCGUCUAAUACCGCGUAACACCGCAGAGGGGCAUCCCUCGGCGGUUAAAGAUUCAUCGGCUGCGGAUGGCCAUGCGGCGCAUUAGCUAGUCGGCGGGGUAACGGCCCACCGAGGCGACGAUGCGUAGGGGUUCUGAGAGGAAGGUCCCCCACACCGGUACUGAGACACGGACCAGACUCCUACGGAAGGCAGCAG
rnacentral:rRNA from 1 species